UACGUAGGGGGCGAGCGUUGUCCGGAAUUAUUGGGCGUAAAGCGCGCGCAGGCGGCCGAUUAAGUCAGGUGUGAAAGGCUGCGGCUCAACCGCAGAGUUGCAUCUGAAAUUGGUCGGCUUGAGUGCAGGAGAGGGGAGCGGAAUUCCCGGUGUAGCGGUGGAAUGCGUAGAGAUCGGGAGGAACACCAGUGGCGAAGGCGGCUCUCUGGCCUGUAACUGACGCUGAGGCGCGAAAGCGUGGGGAGCGAACAGG
rnacentral:rRNA from 1 species